rnacentral:rRNA from 1 species
AUUGAACGCUGGCGGCAGGCCUAACACAUGCAAGUCGAACGGUAACAGGAAGCAGCUUGCUGCUUUGCUGACGAGUGGCGGACGGGUGAGUAAUGUCUGGGAAACUGCCCGAUGGAGGGGGAUAACUACUGGAAACGGUAGCUAAUACCGCAUAACGUCGCAAGACCAAAGAGGGGGACCUUAGGGCCUCUUGCCAUCGGAUGUGCCCAGAUGGGAUUAGCUAGUAGGUGGGGUAACGGCUCACCUAGGCGACGAUCCCUAGCUGGUCUGAGAGGAUGACCAGCCACACUGGAACUGAGACACGGUCCAGACUCCUACGGGAGGCAGCAGUGGGGAAUAUUGCACAAUGGGCGCAAGCCUGAUGCAGCCAUGCUGCGUGUAUGAAGAAGGCCUUCGGGUUGUAAAGUACUUUCAGCGGGGAGGAAGGGAGUAAAGUUAAUACCUUUGCUCAUUGACGUUACCCGCAGAAGAAGCACCGGCUAACUCCGUG